rnacentral:rRNA from 1 species
AGUCGACGCGAAAUGGAGCAAUCCAUGAGUAGAGUGGCAAACGGGUGAGUAACGCGUGGGCGACCUACCUCUGAGUGGGGGAUAACCUUCCGAAAGGAGGGCUAAUACCGCAUGACAUCCCAUGUUUGGAUACAUGGACAUCAAAGCCGGGGAUCGCAAGACCUGGCGCUUGGAGAGGGGCCCGCGUCCGAUUAGCUAGUUGGUGGGGUAACGGCCCACCAAGGCUCCGAUCGGUAUCCGGCCUGAGAGGGCGGACGGACACACUGGGACUGAGACACGGCCCAGACUCCUACGGGAGGCAGCAGUGGGGAAUUGUUCGCAAUGGGCGCAAGCCUGACGACGCAACGCCGCGUGGAGGAUGAAGACCUUCGGGUCGUAAACUCCUUUCGACCGAGAUGAAUUCCUGCCGACCCAAUACGUCGGCAGGGUGACAGUAUCGAGGGAAGAAGCCCCGGCUAACUCCGUGCCAGCAGCCGCGGUAAUACGGGGGGGGCAAGCGUUGUUCGGAAUUACUGGGCGUAAAGGGUUCGUAGGUGGCCUACUAAGUCAGACGUGAAAUCCCUCAGCUUAACUGGGGAACUGCAUCUGAUACUGGGGGGCUUGAGGACAGG